UUGCCAUCAUUUGGUUGGGCACUCUAGAGGGACUGCCGGUGAUAAGCCGGAGGAAGGUGGGGAUGAGGUCAAGUCAUCAUGGCCCUUACGGGCUGGGCUACACACGUGCUACAAUGGUGGUGACAGAGGGCAGCUAGACCGCGAGGUCAUGCUAAUCCCAAAAAGCCAUCUCAGUUCGGAUUGCACUCUGCAACUCGGGUGCAUGAAGUUGGAAUCGCUAGUAAUCGCAGAUCAGCAUGCUGCGGUGAAUACGUUCCCGGGCCUUGUACACACCGCCCGUCACACCAUGGGAGUUGGUUCUACCCGAAGCCGGUGCGCUAACCGUAAGGAGGCAGC
rnacentral:rRNA from 1 species